rnacentral:ribozyme from 12 species
CUCCUAAACUCCUACAAAACACACACACAACCAAAAAAACAAAAACAAGAACAAAAAAAAAGAACAAAACGAGAGCGAGUCUGUCUAUCUAUCUACCUAUCUAUCUAU